ACCCUCUCAGGACCACACCUGGAGAGUUUUCAGUACUCUACCAGUCUUGGCUAAGGGAGAGAGAGUCAAGCAGAGGCAUAUCCAUUCCAUUCCUGGCUUGGUCAGUGGCUAGCGAGUGAAAGGCAAUCUGCUAAAAGU